GGUGCCUAUACCACGUGACUUUUUAAGAUCUGUGUGGGGAGUAAAAUAUCAACAAAAGCGCGACGAAGGUAUGGCUCAAUGCUCCGAAUGCGGAAAAAUGUCGAAGACCAGAGCUGGAUUAUUGCGCCACAUUAGGGGACACGCUAACUCUGGAAACUAUAACUGCUGUGGGAAAGCAUUUCAGGAUGCCUACAAUCUUAGAAGGCUUCAACGAACAAAGGACCCCAAUGUCACGUGUGUUUACAGUGCGACAGGAGCUUUGCG